CAACGAAAACCUCAAAGAGAGCGGCGCAAUUGGGGACCGUGCAGAAGAAGCAAAGGCGAUAAACAAAAGUUUAUCCGCUUUCACUGGUGUCAUUCAAGCGCUUGUACAGAAGAAUACACACGUACCCUACAGAGAAUCACUACUUACACACCUUCUCCAGCCUUGUCUCGAGGGGGACUCAAAAACUUUGAUGGUGGUCAACAUAUCUCCUUCUCUAGAGUCGGUGCGUCACUCAGUAAAGUCUCUUAAGUUUGCAGCCACAGUUAAUGCCUGUGUUGUUACUCGUAAGAAAGAUGUUGCUGGUGAUGGUGAGGCUUCUUCAUCUUCUUCAUCUCUUUUCAACACUCCCAAGUCUACACCAAGAGAUCUCUCUCCUCUUAUCUCCACUACUCACAGAUCUCGUCCUCCUCUUCCUAAAAGACCGA